GGUCGAGCGGAGCAGGGCGGCCGGUCUGCCUGAAAAGCGGAAGGUCGGCAGUUCGACCCUGCCCCUGACCACCA
rnacentral:tRNA from 1 species